CCCCCUCCUCCCAUCUGGGCUCCAACUUGCAAUCAUCCUGCCUCAGCCUCCCACAGAGCUGAGAUUACCUGCCUACAUCACCACUCCGGAGUUCAAGUACACUUUUUAAGUGAAACAUUAAUGCUGCAUUGUGUAUUUUGGUAAAGUACUUCAGCUACGCGAAAGGAAUUCUUCCCCGAUAUAAGUGUUAGUCGCUGGGAUUAUAAUGACACCAAGGCUGAUGGCACAGAGCUGGGUCCCAGCUGGGUCCGGCUGUAUUCCCUCCGCUGCUGUGCCUCACUAGUUGACUAACAGACCUUAUUCCCUGGCCGCACGUAUCUCGCCUGUAGUGGCUUCCCAGUGUGGAAAGGAAGGGGCGAGGGUGUGCCGCAGACUCCUGGGGGAGCUGCUCGAGAGGGGCUGCAGACAAUGGGAAAUGAAACAUUUGAGUGGUUGCGAAAAAUUCCGCAGGAAAUCCCCCCCGGUGGUGUUUAUGUGUGACAGCUGUGACAAGGAGAACACGGGGCUUUUGGUUUCAAGGGUUCCCGAGCAGAUGACAGUGGCCUUCCCGCAGGGCAGCCCCCAGCAACAGUCCUCCCACCUGUCUGUCUGUCUGUCUGAGGACCAUCUAGCCACCGUGGGACGCUGGCUGUGAGCAGCAUGGAGAUCACCCACAUCUCGGGUCCUCCACUGUCCCUGGAGGUGUCCCUUGAGCUUGAGAACCUGGGGGCUUCCUUCUGACCUCACCUCAUCUGCAGGGCAGUUAGAACAGCAGCUGCAUUCAGACCCCUCCAGUCUAAUAGAAAAACCCAACACAGAGGCCUCACAUGCACCCCACCCCCUGGUGUCUUUUGGGGUUCGCAUGGCCUCCUCCUUCCUCCACUCCCUGUCGUCAUGAACUUCUAUUUUCUGUUACCUCCUUUUACUCUCAGUCAGAGGAUAAAGUGGACCAAUAUUAACUAAUCCUUGUUUUGUUUUCCUUAAAACUAACAAAUCUUCCAGAUACCUCCAUUGCUGCUGCUGUGUGGGCAGGUGUUUACAGAUCUGCUGAAAGGGAAGUGGGAGUCGUCAUUCAGUCUCUAUCUGCAUGGAGGACCCGUGUCCCACCCAGGGGUGAAGUUAGCAUGGAUGGCAGAUUAGUCUCCUAGGACUGUUGCGACCGAUAACACAAACUCUGGGGCUGAAAACAACAGAACUUUAUUCUCCCACGCACCUGGAGUCCAGAAGUGUGAAUCUAAGGUGUCCUUGACCACCUAUGAAUGUGGUUUCCAAACUUCUGCGCCGGAAAUGAUUUUCCACAGUGCACUCUACCUCCCUGGGGGUGUUCCCCAGAGUAUGCUUUGAGAAAUGCCGCAGACUAUAAAACCCUACAAAAGCAAAGAAUGUGUACAACUGUUAUGCGUGCAUACCAAGAGAAGACGAGCGAGCGCUUUUGAGUCAAUCCACCAACUAUGAGAUGACUUUGUGAUUGAUUCAGAAAACUGGCUUCUAGAUCACUGUGGCCAAGGCCCAAGUUGGCUAGGGGACUGCAGUCCCUGGGGAGAACCACAUAAGGCUGGAAGCUGGCCAACCUUGAUUCUGAGGAAGGAUCGGAGACCAUAACUGCUCUAAUUUCCCUGCCCCUGCUCUAGGAGCCACG
rnacentral:lncRNA from 1 species